UUUGUCUCCUGCUUGUCCUGCCUCAAGCUCCUCUCCUCCCUGCCUCUCCCACCUGACCCACUUCCUUCAGUUUUCACGAGUUAGCACUCUGCCUGGGCCUCAGAUUACAGAAACGCUGCAGCCCUGUAAAUGGCCUGAGGGAAGGCCAAGCUCACAUUUCAUGGGCUUGGAAAUUUAGAAUUACAAAUUAAUCUACAGGAAACAACUGCUUGAACAAUUUAAAACGGAUGUGCACACCAGUCCACCCAGACCUCUUGUACUGGCCACCAGGCAGUGUACGGGAGCAGUCCCAUCUGAGUUUCUGCUUGCUGGAGUCUUUCUUGUAUCGCUUGCUGCUCACUUCUUUACAAGGGUUAAGCAAGAGGUGAACUCCCCACAUGCCAGUGUUAUGCUGGUCUGCCUGCUGCCAUGUAUAUCCCAUGAUGGAUAUCAACUCCGACCUUCUGGGAUCAUGAGAAGUUGCCUUACUCAUAGUGUUUUGUCCUAGCAAUACAUAGCAUGAUACACAAUACAUGGUGAAGACCUAUGCCAUGAACUAGAAAGCACUGAACUAAGUAUAAUAGGAGAGAGAAAAAUGUUUGUCUCAGAGUGAACUCCUUGAAAAGCCUGCACAAUUACGAAGUAUGAAGCUAUGAUUUUCCUGUAAUUUGAAGGUAUUAUCACAGGAGUCUGUGAUACCCUGGAAGCUGCCUUUUCUGUCUGUGCUGGCUGCUUGUUUUGCUUCUUCUGUGGUGGAAGCAGAGCCAUCGAAUCCCCCAGACAGCAUCCUGAGCCAUCAUUGCAGUCCAGGCAAGCUCUGCUCCCCUAGAGAAUGGUACAGGACUCAGAUGGUGCUCUUUGAAUGGACCAUUAGUUCUGUCUUCUUCUGAUAAAAUCCACUCUGCGGUCAUUUUAAAAAAUUUAUUCUUCUCUCAUAAAUUACAUCCUGACCGCAGUUACCCUACCCUGUUUCCAGCCACUCUCCUCCAUCCACUUCCAUUUCCCUUAAGAAAAGGGCAGGCGUCCUAUGGAGCAACCAGAUACGGCAUAUCGAGCUGAAAUAGACACUUCCCUUUUAUAUUAAGGCUGGAUGAGACAACCCAGCAGGAAGAGAAGGUCCCAAAAGUAGGAUCAAGAACCACUAAGGAGACAAACCUCUGGCCACAGUUCUGAGAGGGUUUCCACAGUGAUUUAAUUGAAGUGGGAUGACCCACCCUAAAUUUGGGCAGCACUGUUUAUUUCAUGGUUCGGGACUCCAGUGCCCUCUUUUAUACCUGACUGUGGAUGCAGUGUGCCAAGCUGCUUCAAGCUCCUCUCUCCAUGGCAUCCCUGCAUGUUGGACUGCACCCUUGAACUGUGAAGCGAGAUAUAUCCUCCUUCCUUAGCUGCUGUUACCAGCUUUUUUGUCCCAGCAAAGAAGAAAUUGAACAAUACACUCUGGGAGGAAGUGCUUUGCUUCAGAAGAUAGAGUUCACACAAUAGUAACCCCAUCAGAAUCUGGGCAUCAUGGAGAUGUUCAUACCCUCCAGGUUCCUACAAAACCAUCUAUCAGGUACUGACUCCAUCCUGUCCAAGGAAGGAUAUUCAAAGAGGAUAAAUGGAAGAUGCUGCCUCAGCUUCAUCAUGUGUGCAGUUUAAAGGUUGCUCGGGUGAUUCUUUAAAACUGCAUAAAAGCAAUUCUGCUGUGCCUGGGAGACAGUAUUGCUGUAAUGUUCCGUGCAUACAUCUGCAUGAUUUCUCAGAGCUAAUUCAAAUUUAAUGCAUUGGUAAUUCCUUUCCCGCCGAAGCCACCCAGCGGUAAUCUGAAGGUUACAGAAUGAUCUUCCGGCUCAAAUAACACUUUUAGACCAGGAUAAAUGGAGAGGCAGGAAUAUAAUGGGCAGAAUUAGGCUUCAAUGAUAAAUCCCACCCCAAUUACCACUCUGAGUGAGGCUGACCAGAGCUUACAAUGUUUUCAGAAGGAUGAUUGUAAUAUAAUUUUAACAAAACAGGGAGUCAAGCUGUAGUGGUCUUCCUGAGGAAACUGUAUAUUAACCCAACAUGACGACACGUGGACAACUUAGGGGAUAUUUCUCUAACAAUUGGAAAGACCAUUCUUGAGGCAAAAUUAGGCUAGGAUUAAAGUACUCAUAAGAAACUCACAAAUGUGUAAAGAUCCAGAGAGGAAUAAUUUAGCUUGGAGACCGUAGAAAUAGUGAAACCCAAUUGAAGUCCAGAUAAAUAAUGAAAAUAAUAAUUUGGAGACUACGGUUUUUUUUAACCCUUUGGUGAGCUUUUGCAGUGUAGAAUAAAAUUGUAUUUUAUAGACACUAGGUCCUAGGAUUAGCUAUGUUCCCAUCGAUCCUCGAUGUUUUCAUUGGAGAAUGGACUUCAAUGCCAAGGCACUGGUUUACUGUAGUCUUGUUCUUCCUCAGCUGAUGAGGCACAGGAACCCACGUGUACAUAAAUAGUCCAUGUGCACUCACGUGCCCCUAAAUAUUUGCAUACGUAACCAUCUGUGUUCAUAUCAAGCUAUCUCUCAACUCUGACGUCUCUGAUCAAGAAUGGCAGCCCCUUGAUUUCUGCUCUCUCUCUAUCUUAUCCCCGAGAACAUGACUAGAGAAUCCUGUCACCACUUCGCUACAGAUCCAGAAAACAUGGUGACUCAGUGCUUUUCAUUUCGCUCUGGCCAGGCACCCUCCUUACAUUGGAUUCAGUGGACUGGCAUCACCCACAAGUCUGAAGGCAGUUAGCUCACGGUGAUGUCUGUAGUGACAGUCUGCCAAACACCACAUAGGCGUCUUCUAGUCGUUAAAUAUGAUUCCCUUAAGGCUUCAAAACUUGUGAAACAGAUUGCACGGCCAUUUCUUGCUCUAUGGUGGUUAAACAAAAGCAUUUGGCUUCGCGUGUUAGGAACCUAGUAAACGUCAGAGAAAUAAAAUCACUAAAGGCUGUUCUUUCCCUAAAAUAAGUUUUACUCAUUGGCAGAUGUUAUCUGUUAGUCAAAAGAUUGCAACUGGUAAAUGCAGGGAGCAAGGCCCUGUUUCUUUCUUCUUCUUUCUUUUUUGAAAUGACAUCAUCGGUGUCACUUACAAAUCUGGUAUUAAUUAUUUGAUAGGCUUGAGGCUGAUUUUGUACUACAGGCAUUUUGCUGUUGGAAGGGUGAAUGUCAAGGAUGACUUAUCACCCUGGGCAGUUAGAGGAAGGUUUAAAGCCCAAUUGCAGCUACAUCAGAGCCCACUACAGUGUCAUACAUGCUAUACCAGCUUACUUUCCAUAACCAGAGCAAAUUUGACCCAAGCAUAUUUCCACUAUGAGGUUUUGGCUAAUCUUAGAUUUGGAUUGUAAAUCUAGAGGAAGCAAAACUAAAGGGAGAAUUUUUGACUUAACAAUCUAAAGUGGGCUUUUUAAUCUCUCAAGUGAAUUAAUGAAGGGGGGGUCUGAAAUGUUGUGAAAUAAUCCUUUAAUGGAGUUUUAAGUGGUCAGGUCCUGAAGAAGUACUUCAUCAUCGUCAUCACCACCACCACCACCACCACCACCACCAUCAUCAUUUUUAUUAUUAGACUGGAUUUUUAGGCCAAACAACUUUUAAAAUAGAAAUCUCUGGACAGAAGUUGUUAACUUCCUCUCUUUGUGUUGUAAAAUCAAGGCUUGUUGAAUGUUGUUUAUUAUGCAAAACUAAAACAAAAGCAUAAAUGAAAGCCAAAGUUUAUGAGGUUGCUGAUGCAAUAAGAUAUAAAAGUAGGCUUUGACAUUCCAGAUGCACUGUGGGGAUUUAUCCCCUGAGAAGAAUAACCUUUGAAAUAGCCGCCAGCCAAGCUGAAGGCAAAGACAGGACCCUGACCAACUGCAAAAGACAUCAACUAGCAAAGGAAAUAGUGUCCGACAUAGCUAGUCCUUCUCCGUGCCUGAUUGCUCUGUUCUCUGAAAAGUCAAACUGUCUUUCUCUUAUGCUGACAGGUAGUUGAUAAUAUUGCUACUGACAAUGAAGUUCUGCUUCCGGUGUAGUUACUCACUGCACCAUCAAGCUGGACACUGGAUUCUUGAUGCUAGCAAGUGCUUUCACAGUGGGGUAGGGAAUAGCAAGGCACAGUGUAAACAGAACAUGUCAAACCCCUCAUAAAACAGGAAGUUCCUUCUGCCUCUGCCUGUUUUGGACAUGCUGAAGAAACCACAUGUGUGAUUAUAAAGUCAGAGUCUGCCGUGCUGCUCAUCAUACUGGAAGCAUCGAUAUGGGUGUUCUCAGACACUUUCUGUGGGAAUUCUAGUGUGCAUGUGCAAAUAGUGUUUAAUAUUCCCUCCCUUUUCUGCUACCUAUUGAAACCCCAAAGAAGCCACAGUACAGCUCUGUCAUCAGAAUGUGAUAAUGCUUGGUGUAUUGGCUGGUUUUGUGUGUCAACUUGGCAUAAGCUAGAGUUAUCACGGAGAA
rnacentral:sRNA from 1 species